ACUAAAACGCUAGCAAUUAAACCACCAAAACAUCACAUUAAUUAUCAACCAACUAAAACAUUCUAAAUCUAAGUAUAUGCGACAGAACAGAAAUAAUUUAGCCAUAGAGAAAGUACCGUAAGGGAAAGCUGAAAAAGAAAUUAAAAAAUCCAUCAAAGUACAAAAUAGCAGGAAUUAACUUCCGUACCUUUUGCAUUAUGAUCUAGUUAGUCAACCGGAGCAAAAAGACUUUAAGUUCCUCCUCCCGAAACUAGACGAGCUAUUUUAUAGCAGCUAAUCGAGCUAAUCCGUCUCUGUAGCAAAAGAGUGGAAAGACUAUUAAAUAGAGGUGACACGCCUAUCGAGCCUAGUAAUAGCUGGUUGCUUAAUAAACGAGUAUAAGCUCUACCUUAAAUCUUAUUACAAUAAAACCAAUAUUAAUAAAAACUUAAGAGCCAUUCAUAAGAGGUACAGCCCUUAUGAAAAAGGAGACAACCUACAACUAUGGCUAAUGAUUAUACACAAUAAAAUCUUAUAACCCAGUAGACUUAAAAGCAGCCAUCUAUUAUGAAAGCGUCAUAGCUCUAAACAUUAUAACUAAACAACCCCAAUAAUUUAUCAAAAUCCAUCAAAUUUAUUAAGCCUACUCAUACAUUUAUAACUAUGAUAAUACUAGAACUAGUAAUAAGAAAACAUAAUUUUCUCUUCCGCUUCAGUGUAAACUAGAUUGGACUCCCCACUAGUAAUUAACAAAAUAAUUUAACAUAAUAAACUAGACCAUAAUGCAAAAUUUACUGUUAAUCCUACACAGGAUAGCAUUUAUAGAAAGAUUUAAAAAUAUGGAAGGAACUCGGCAAACUUCAGGCUUCGCCUGUUUACCAAAAACAUCGCCUCUAGCUAACAUUACAUACAUUAGAGGUACUGCCUGCCCAGUGAUAAAAAUUAAACGGCCGCGGUAUUCUGACCGUGCAAAGGUAGCAUAAUCACUUGUCUUUUAAAUAAAGACUUGUAUGAAUGGCAAGACGAAAGCUAAACUGUCUCCCCUAUUUGAUCAAUGAAACUGAUCUCCUUGUACAAAAGCAAGGAUGAUACUACAAGACGAGAAGACCCUAUGGAGCUUAAAACACGCCAGCACUUAUUUAGACCUAAUUUUCUAAUUAUUACUUAAUAAAUAUGACUUCGCUGUUUUUGGUUGGGGUGACCACGGAGAAUAAUAAUCCUCCGAUGAUGGUUGAACCAAGAUUAACAACCCAAAGUACCGGAACUUCUGACAUACUUGACCCAAUAAAUUUGAUCAACGAACCAAGUUACCCUAGGGAUAACAGCGCAAUCUUCUCUAAGAGUCCAUAUCAACGAGAAGGUUUACGACCUCGAUGUUGGAUCAGGAUCCCAAGACAGUGCAGCCGCUGCUACAGGUUUGUUUGUUCAACAAUUAAAAUCCUACGUGAUCUGAGUUCAGACCGGAGUAAUCCAGGUCAGUUUCUAUCUGUUAAACAUUUUUUUUAGUACGAAAGGACCAAAAAAAUAAAGCCAAUACAACCAAUGCAAGCUUUCUUAAAAUACAUGAAAAUAACUAAAUGUUAACAUACAUUAAUUAAUCCCUAAAAAAGGGAAUU
rnacentral:rRNA from 1 species